CUCCAGGCACUUCCGUUUCCACUGCUGAAGAUGAUGAUGAGGAACUGGUAUUUGCUGCAUCACAAUGUGAAGCACAGAUAAAUACAGAAUUAUGUCACAUCUUGCCUCAAGCUGGAUGUAUGCUUUGAGCGCAUUUCUUCGAAACCGUAAGGAUGUUUAAAGAGACCUGUUCUGGUCCGUCUCCAUCAGCGGAAACAGCAAAAGCACCAGGUCUUCCACAUCAUCCACCACCAGCUGAGCUUCCAGUUCACUGGAAAGAUCAUCUUCCACCU